rnacentral:lncRNA from 1 species
AAGUUGGCACCAGCUAUGAUAUGGUGAAAGAUACUGGUUAAAUCCUUCACCAGCUUUGAUUGAUUUAGUUUCUUUUAAUCCUUCACCACUAUCAAAAACCUCUUCGAUAUGUGAUUCGGUUCACUCAAGGCACAUUACCACAAAAGUGCUCCUCUUGCACUCCUAGACCACCUGGUGGCAGGUUGGGGUUGUCUGACGAGUUCUUGUAGGGGAAAAGGAAACAAGGGAGAAAAGAGAGAGUACGUAAGAGGAAGCUGAUCUUUAAAAUCUCAAAUUUUUGUAUCGCAUGAUGAAGGAAUGGUGGAUCUACAACACUAGUUGGGCGAUUAUUGGCUCUCUUAAUCCAAGGGAAAUUACAAUUACUAAAUCACUUAACUGGUCAACCUGGUUGACAAAUUAAAUACCAACUUUUCCCCUAAUGCAAGUGAAAGACUGUUAUAAAACGGACAUAAUAAAUACUACAGACAUUAAAGGGCACUGGAGCAAAAGUGCUUGUAGUUACUAGUUGCUCAGAGACAACUUUAUGGCUCAUAUGAUAUCGUGCCACAUUUACUUGUAUGGAUCCCAAUGGGUAUUUGACUAAGUAUACAUGAGUCAUUUCAUUGUUCUUUGUGGUCUUCUCCAAGAACUUUAGGUAGUCGAAGCCGCCGCCACCAUUGCUCUAUAUGCUACUUUGCAUGGAAGGCACUUCCAUACCUUACUCCUGCAAAAUGCUUGGCACAGACAUCUUGGGAGCAGGAUUCAUGAUUUUCCUUCUUACUGUUAUUGGUGACUCACGUGAAAAGGAGUUUAAGAUUUAUUCAACUGGUACUAUACAAGAUAAGAUCAAAAGAUUGACAUACCUAAAAUUUGGUUGGAUUGGUCCAUUGAUUUAAGAAGCAAAAGAAAAAAAGAUCUGGAAAUAUGUUAGGCAUUAUCCUAAGACUAUCCGAUGAUCAAAAAUUCUACUUCAAGAUAUGACAGGGAUACCAUCUCUUGGAGCUCAGCAAAUAAAGGAAAAAGAAAAAGUGAUAAAAAUACUAGAGGAGAAGGAGAGUUUACAGAAGACAGAACUUUCAGAGAAAGAGAUAUCACUGAUUUUCAGAUACCUCAGAGGUCGGAACUCAUAGCUUUUUAUAGACAUCAGUAAACAAUCAUUUCAUCAGUAAACCUCGAAGAGAAGCAAUCAAUCAAAUGGAAUAUGUCUGGUCAAGAAAGCAGUCAUUUCAACACAAAGAAAAAUGACCAUUUAAAAUUUGAUAAAAAUAAAAAGAUAAAUAAAAUAUGAUAAAAGAAAAAAAUAAAAUUUAUCAUACCAUCAUGUGCAUGCAUUGCAUUGGGCCAGGCCAGCACACGCAUGUGUGGUGCAAAGAAAAUUCUUUGUACACCGCAUGCGGUGUAGAAAAAAUGCAUCGCCCCAUCUGAUUGGAUCAUGUAGCUACCGCUUUCUAAUGCACAUUUAAUGUCUGUAAUUUCAUUUCUUCAUUUAAAAUUUUGAAUGAUGAAAAUAUCUCUUUUUUUAUAAAAUUACGAUAUCCUGUGGUCAUAUUAUGACAUCCUACGGUCAAAUUAUGACUUCAUGUUUAUAAUUUGGCCAUAGGAUAUUAUAGGAGAUGAGCAUUUUCGUCAUUGAAAAAUUCUAAAAUUUUUUAAUGAUAAAAAUAUCUUUUCUUCUUUAUGAUUUUU